UGAAACCCGACGCGGGAUCCGUUUACAUCCAUUCGGGUCGACUUUAUUACAUACCAUAGAUAAACAAUCUUCAUCUUCUCUUCUCUGAUACAGCAACAAGGUCGAUUAGGGUUUUUGAUCAGCCGCUCUCCCCUCGGUUCCUUUUCUACCUUUGUUCAAUCUAGAAUUUUGAUAAUUGUCUCUCGCUCUUAUGAUCGUAUCCACCUACAACUUGAAAAUCAAUCCGAUUGUAUGGUAUCAACAUUACUUCGAACCCUAAUUCGCAUCACUGAAAGAUCUUCAAUAACAAGUUAAUUUGUUUGUGAUGAUCAGUUUUGACAUUAUACAUUAGUGAACAGAGCAUUCUUGAAGACAAAGAACUUAGGUUAUACAUUUUUAUUUUUAAUGGAUUAUUGUUUGUUUGAUGAUGACCCUUUUGAUGAUUAUUUUUUGGGGUCUGAUUGUUCCACAAGUUUUGUAUUUUUGACAAAUUGCAUGGGUAACAGAUGUCUUUUGAACCCACUUGCUCACAUAAAUCUUUAGUAUUACGUGUGCAUUUGAUGAAUCUUGGAAGACUUGGGAGCUCGGGGUGGAAUUAUUUCCGACGUUGGACUUCUUUGAGACACAAAUGUCAUCCACACCAAGUAAGGCGUGGUAAAAGCGAAAAGGAAGAAAGAUCGGUAAGGCUCAUGAUCAGGUUAGUUGCUUAAUCUUUGAUAAUGAAAUUUGUCGAAACGUGUGACUAACUCAAUGUUCUAGAUAACAAAUCAACCGCGACAACGAAGGCUGCAUCCGAAUUUUUCCCCACAACUUCAGCACGUCAUAAAAGAGGUCAUAUCGCAGUGUGGUGACGUCGAAGUGAGCAACUGUAGUAGAGUCGGUGGUCUCAGAUGUUGGCGAGACAGGGGUUUAGGUCUGAAUUGCACUGAUGGUUGCUAAGGUGUGGAUGAUGCCGACGACUAGGGUUGUUGUCGAGUGUAGAUGGUGGUAGAUUGGAAUUUAGGCUUUUGCGCUAACUCUCCAUUGGAGUAGUCGAGAAUCGUCAUCAAUCAACAAACACCAGGUGAAAGCCAUUAAGCGGCUAUGAUGGGAUUUCUUGCUUUUUUUUUAUAAGAAAGGCGAUUCUAACCUUUGAAUGAUUACCUUUGGAUGGUGCGUUCAAUGGUCAUGUACUUGACUAUUGUUUUGCAAGGCUACCAUGGUUGUUGGGCUGGUAAUGUUGUUAGAUUUGUGUUGAUAUGGUUACCUAUGAGUUUUACAACUUCCUUCCUUUCGCCUUUUCAGUUUUUUUAUACAUCUUAUAUACAUCUUAUAUGCUGGUCUUUCUUUGAAGGAUUUUGCACAUGAGCAUUUUUAUGUUUCUUGAGGAAUCGUCCUAUCUAGCCAUGAUGGAUUAUGUUUGAUAUCAAUGUCUAUGAUGAUUUGUAUGAGUUCAAAGAAACAUGAAUUUUUAUGUCUAUUGGUGCGACAACUAAGGUAUUUUUUUGUUUAGAAGGCAAUCUCUUAGUAUGCAGCCAUAGAGCAUAAUCUUUAUUUCUUAAAAUCUUCGCAUUUCUGAGCCUAUGAUGUUACGUUUUUUAAGGUUAUUGACGCUUAUAUUUUUUCCAUCCACGGUAGUUGUUCAUGUUUGUAGGAUAUGGUGAUGGGUUUGAGGUUAAAUGCGAAUGAAUUUACUUUUACCAUGAUUGUGUGUCUGUGGGCUAUGAUAAUUUGUUUUAGUUCAAAGUAAGCUGAGUUCGGUUUUAAUUUCUGGAAUAAUUUAUUUAUCAAUGUAACUUCAUGUGCGUAUGCUUCACAAAAUGAUGAAGAUAUGAUCUACAUAUAUAAUGCUUACUUACACAAGCUGGUAACAUCUUUUCUAUCUCAUCCACUUGCAAGAUACAAGGUUAGUCAUGUUCAUGUUCCUUGAUAAUUUAUUGACAUUUGAUACUACACCAUCUUUUGAGCUUUAGUGAGUAAGAUGAUUUAUGCUCUAUAUGAUGUUUUUUCACAUGGUUGGUAGGUGAAAGGAACAGAGGAGAUGGCCACACCUUCUCAGAGAAUUAGAUGAAAAUCUAUAUAGCCCUGAAAAUUGUUGGUACCUUUGUUCCUUUUAUGUUCAUCUUCUCCGCGCUUUGCGAGGCGUGUUUUCUGCCAGUACUGGAUCGGUUCGUUACUUUAUCGGUACGAUGCCGGCAUUCAGUAUAGCAACUGACCAUCAGUUGAAAACCAUAAAAAUGCAUGUCGAUACUGGGUUUUUAACAACUUUGGUUUGGAGAAACAGAAGGCUCUUCAUCUUGGAAUGCUGCCAUAGCCCAUGUCUUGACAGGUAAGUUCUAAAUCCCCCUUGAUGUUGAUUAUUUUCUUGCUUAUCAAUUAGUUAAGGGUUUUUUUUUUAAUGUUUGAUUUGUAUUUAUUUAGUUUAAUGCAUUGCCUUUUUAAAACUCUAUAUUCUCAAGAGCCCUUAUGUAAUGUUAAAAGUUUUAUAAAUUUAACUUGAAUUGAUGAGAUGUCGAGAGAAAUAGAGAAUGCGGGGAGAACUGGCCUACAUAAAGCAGAUGACAAAAUUGAAACAUCAUCUUCAAUAAAAUGGAAUUAUAUACUACCAAAAAAACAAACAACAGCUGCUAAGAAGAGGGGCAGAGUACAAAACCACCACUAAAACAAGAGAACUACAUUAAUUAAAAGAUAAGGCGUAUGACCAAUCCAAAUUCUCAGAAUUCGACUAGGAAUAAGUGAAACCCCAAGGCUAAAUACACCCUUUAUUUCGUUGUCUUUGUGGUUUGUAACACAACCAGUCUAUUAAUUAUUGCUAUGGAAACACUAACCAAUAUAGUUUCUUUUACAUAUGUUGAUUUAUAGUUUUAUAUAUAAGUUUUGGUGCUUAGUGAUGGUUCGGGUCGGAUCAUGGAUAAACUUUGUCAACGACAUUCAACUACGGUCAAUCACAGUCAAGAGUGGUCCAUCUGAAGGUUGUUAUAGUUAAUAUCAUCCUAGGCACUCAUGUAUGGGCAGAAGACCUAGCAGUAUGUUGAGUGGUGGAGGUUGCGACUAAUUUUGUUGGUGAUCAUUCACGUUACAACCUUCUGAAUAGGAAAUCAUUUUUUUUUUGUGUUAUUUUUCUUGAUUCGUAAUCCAUCAUCCUCAUCUAUGCUUCUGUUUUGGGUUGCGACUGGACCUGAUAACCAAUUGGUUGCUUUAUGUGGUUUUAUUCGCUGAUGGUUUGCCCAGAGCCGAAUUUCGAAGGAGUCGUUUCUUUGUCUGUUUUGGAAUGUGGAACAUCGGACUAGCGGAGUCAAACUACAAGGUUUUGACUACAUUAACGACUCAAAAGUAUUUGUUGUAAAUUUACCCUUGAGUAUGCUUAAAAGAAUUUGUGGUAUGGUGUCAAAAUGGGUAUUAGUGAGUCAAAACAACAGGCCGGGUGGAGUCAACCGGCAAACACCUUCUGUAUCUUUUUUUUUUUUAAUUUGUAACUAAAUUUGUGUUAUAUUAAGCUUAGUGUCACUUCGUGUAUUAAUCUUAUAUAGGGUGACUCACUUGAAGCUUGUGAUAAUAGGUGUGGCAAAGCUCUAUAACGAAGAAGAAAUUUGAUUAUGUUAAAAAAAAAACGUGCAUUAAAUUUAUAGAUUCAAAUUUAACAUGAAAUAAUAUGAUAAUAAAUAUAUAAUGUUCCUUGAAAACAUAUUAUUUUGUCCAAUCCGCGAUGUUCGCGGGUAUUAGCACUAUUCCCUUAUUUAAGUGUACUGAUAUUAAGUAUUAUGGAACUGAUUCAAACUUUUAACAUUAAACGUAUAAUUUUUUUUGUCAAAACCACAAAACAUAUCAUUUUUUUGAUUUCGCUCCCAUUCUCUCCGUUUCUCUCCCACGCGACUUGAUUCGUCGCCUCUUUUGUUUCAAACCCUAAAAUUGAUGUCUAUGUAUCGAGAGUAGUGGCUACAUGGUGCACCCAAGAGAACAUGUAAAAGUAAUAUGCAUAUUUGGUAUGACUACAACAUCGUCAAUACCUCAGUUUUGGUUACUUUCACAUGUGCGAGACGCAAGCAAUUUGUUUCACUAGGGCAGGCUUCACUCUUCUAGGGGUCAAUAUUGAUGAAUAUCAAGUUAGAUAUACCAGGAGGUGAGAAUUACUUUACAAUGAAUCGGGUCAAGUUAUGCCGAUGUACCACAAGUUUUUUGUAUUUUGGAUAUAACAUAUGUUUUAGGUAUAACAAAAUCUGUAAUUAGAUAAUUUAUCUAUACUAUCUAAUGAUCAUCCGAUUUUAGAUGCU